rnacentral:rRNA from 1 species
GCGAUCAUACCAGCAUUAAUGCACCGGAUCCCAUCAGAACUCCGAAGUUAAGCGUGCUUGGGCGAGUGCGGUACUAGGAUGGGUGACCCCCUGGGAAGUCCUCGUGUUGCACCU